GGUACUGAGUGGGAAUGAUUAGAAUAAAAUUGAGGACUCUAGCAGCGGACUUAGAAUGGUAUCAGCGGGUUCUCAUCCUACAACCUGACUUUGGAAGUUGGAGAUAAGGGGUGUCUAGGGGUUGGGUCAGACUCCAGUUUUGGAGUCUGACUCACAGUUGGGCGGAGCCAAGGCCCCCUGAGGCUGAGCCAGAACCUCUGAGAGUGAACCUGGAGACUCAGAGGGCAGCUGGCAGGGCUCACAGUGUGGGGUCCCACCCUGCAGAGGCUGGGUCAGGCCCUCAAGGGCUGGGUUGCUGGCUUCAAGAGGCUGGGCCAGGAUGUCAAGGGGCGGAGUUCCGGGUUCCACAGCUGGGACAGUGUUGCCCAGAGCUGAUUCCUGGGACUUGCAGAAACGUGCGAAGCUGCUCCUGCCGCACGUCCACCAGGUACCUGCAGAUGGGAAGCGCCCUGUCAGGGACCCAGAUUUUGAUCCCCAGCCAGGAUGUUCCCCACCCUCCACCCCACUGACUCACCGGGCUAAUUCCACAAUCAAGUUCCCUCCGGGUGCCACACAGGCCCCAAGCUCAGGGAUGAGAAGAUGGACCAUACUGCAGAGAGGACGGAGGACAGGCUGAGAUUCAGCUCCAAAUCCGGAGGGAGGAUGGGGCUCUGGGAUCCCAGACAAUGAGGGAGGAGGGGUGGCAAAACUGGAGUCUGGGUCCUGGGGAAAGAAGGGAGCAGGAGGUCUGGACUCCUGGGUCUGAGGGAGGAGGGGCUGGGGGCCUGGACCCCUGGGUCUAAGCAAGGAGGGGCUGGGGGCCUGGACUCCUGGGUCUGAGGGAGGAGGGGCUGGGGGCCUGAUCCUGGGUCUUUGUGAGCACAGCUGCCUCCCCGCUUACCCACAGGCCACAUAGAGGAGCUGGAAUCGGCCGUUGUAGCAGCUCUUGUGGUGGAGAGUCUGAGCAGAAUUGAGCGGCAGGAAGUGGACGGAGGCUCUCGUCGUCCGCUUCGAUGCCGAAGGCCACGAAGGGCCCCGUGGCGAUGUCCCCCCAGUACCCGCGCGCUGCCACGCGCUCCCCACGCUGGAAAAGGAGGGAGAGAGGAGGCAGGUAAUCUAGAGAUGAUUUGCGGUGUAUGGGACCAUGUGUACAGGCUAUUUGUAAGUACAUCUUUUUUGUUUUGAGACAGUGUCUCACUCUGUUGCCCAGGCUGAAUGCAGUUGUGCCAUCAUAGUUCACUGUUACCUCGACCACCUGAGCUUAAGGGACCCUCCUCCUCCAGCUUCCCAGCUAGCUGGGGCUAGGCAUUAGCUACCACACCCAGCUAAUGUUUUAUUUCUUUUUCUUUUCUUUUUCUUUUUUUUUUUUUUUUUUUUUUUUUUUUUUGAGACGGAGUCUCGCUCUGUCGCCUAGACUGUAGUGCAGUGGCGCGAUCCCGGCUCACUGCAAGCUCCGCCUCCCGGGUUCACGCCAUUCUUCUGCCUCAGCCUCCGGAGUAGCUGGGACUACAAGCGCCCGCCACCACACCCGGCUAAUUUUUUGUAUUUUUAGUAGAGACGGGGUUUCACGUGUUAGCCAGGAUGGUCUCGAUCUCCUGACCUCGUGAUCCACCCGCCUCAGCCUCCCAAAGUGCUGGGAUUACAGGCGUGAGCCAUCGCGCCCGGCGGCUAAUUUUUUUUUUUUUUUUUUUGUAUUUUUAGUAGAGACGGGGUUUCACCGUGUUAGCCAGGAUGGUCUCGAUCUCCUGACCUCGUGAUCUGCCUGCCUCGGUCUCCCAAAGUGCUGGGAUUACAGGCGUGAGCCACCGCGCCCGGCCAAUAUUUUAUUUCUUGUAGAGACGGGGUCUCACUAUGUUGACCAGGCCAGUCUCAAACUCGUGGUCUCAAGCAGUCCUCCCACCUCAGGCUCCCAAAGUGUUAGGAUUACAGGCGUGAGCCACCGCCCCUGGCAAUACUAUACAAUUUUAUAAGGGACUUGAGCAUCCUUGGAUCUUGGUAUCUGCAGGGGUCCUGGAACCAGUCCCCAGUGUUACUGAGGGAUGACUGUAUAUACCUUUGCAUAUAAUAUAUAUACACAUAGACAUACAAAUAGUUUCAUGUUAGUUGUUUAAGAACUUAAUAGAAGAGAACUAUGUGCCUUUAGUAAAAUAGAUCAGUUUAGUUCUAACUGUUUAAGAACUUUGAACAAUCUGUACUGUGCAAUGUACUCUGAAUUCCCUGGGUCAUUAAUGACUGAUAUGGUUUGGAUCUGUGUCCCUGCUUAAAUCUCAUGUUGAAUUGUAAUCCCCAAUAUUGGAGGCGGGGCCUGGUGGGAGGUGAUUGGGUCACAGGGGCAGAUUUCUCCCUUGCUGUUCUCGUGAUAGUGAGUUCCCACAAAAUCUGGUUAUUUGCAAGUGUGCGCCUCUUCCCCACUGCCUCUCUUGCCCCUUUUCCUGCCGUGGAACAGAUGCCUGCAUCCCCUUCGCCUCCUGUCAUGAUUGUAAGUUUCCUGAGGCCUUCCCAGCCAUACUCCCUGUACAGCCUGUGGAACUGUGAGUCAAUUAAACCUCUUUUCUUGGGGCCGGGUGUGAUCGCACCCGCCUGUAAACCUAGCACUUUGGCAGGCCAAGGCGGGCGGAUCACCUGAGGUCAGCAUCUCGAGACCAUCCUGGCCAACAUGGUGAAACCCCGGCUCUACUAAAAAUACAAAACCUUAGCCGGGCAUGGUGGUGCAUGCCUGUAAUCCCAGCUACUUGGGAGACUGAGGCAGGAGAAUUGCUUGAAUCCAGGAGGCAGAGGUUAUGGAGAGCCAAGAUCGUGCCAUUGCACUCCAAUCUGGGCAACGGGACAAGACUCUGCCUCAAAUAAAUAAAUAAAUAAACAAACAAACCUGUUUUCUUUUUCUUUCUUUCUUUUUUUUUUAGAUGGAGGUUUUGCUUUUGUCGCCCAGGCUGGAGUGCAGUGGUGUGAUCUCGGCUCACUGCAACCUCUGCCUCCCGGGUUCAAGUGAUUCUCCUGCUUCAGCCUCCCGAGUAGCUGGGACUACAGGCGCCUGCCACCACACCCGGCUAAUUGUUGUAUGUUUAGUAGAGACGGGGUUUCACCAUGUUGAGCAGGAUGGUCUCGAUCUCCUGACCUCGUGAUCUGCCCACCUCAGCCUCCCAAAGUGCUGGGAUUACAGGUGUGAACCACUGCACCCAGCCUCUCCUGGAAUUUUCUAAGUGGCUCUAAGAUGUAUUAUAUUUAGCCCCAUUUUACAGGUAGGAGGAGCUGAGGCUCUAAGAUGGCAAAUUACAUCAGAGGGGACCAUCAUCAAUAAAUAUAUUGGAUUUUUUUUUUCAUCAGAGGUACCACACUGGAAAAUACCAAACAUUUUUGGUUUUUAGAUGGAGUUUCGCUCUCUUUUUUUUUUUUUUUUUUUUUUUUUUGAGACGGAGUCUCGCUCUGUCACCCUGGCUGGAGUGCAGUGGCGCGAUCUCAGCUCACUGCAAGCUCCGCCUGCCGGGUUCACGCCAUUCUCCUGCCUCGGCCUCCCAAAGUGCUGGGAUUAACAGGCGUGAGCCACCGCGCCCGGCCGGAGUUUCGCUCUUGUUGCCUAGGCUGGAGUGCAAUGGCGCGAUCUCGGCUCACUGUAACCUCCGCCUCCCAGGAAAAUAACCAAACUUUUUAAUUGUACCAUUGAAAUGCCAGAAUCCCUCUAGGGAGGGGGAGGAGACCAGCGGUCAGAAUGCCUGGGUCCUAGCAACAGACCUUGCAGCCCCAUCUUCUCCGGUUCCUCCAGGGCUAGGCUGAAGAUCAGCAUGUGUCGGGCCACAGCUUCCAGAUUAUUCUCCAGCACAAAGAACUAGAAGGAUGGACAGGGCAGAAUAAUUCUGAGACCUGUUUGCCUGGGUCCUAGGAGACCCAGGAGAGCAGGCCCUCAGCUCUCUCCUUCCACACACCCGAGUUCUGUACACCAGCCUCUUCCUUCAAACACAGAAGUCUGUGUCCCCAGAGCUCUCUUCCCUUCCAUUACUCAGAAGACCUCAUCCUCGAGCUCUUCCCCACUAUAGAACCCAGGAGUUCCAAACCCCAGCCCCUUCCUUCCCCCAAGACGCAUCGGUUCGCUCCCAGCUUCUGCCUCCCUCAGAUCUAGGAGUCUCCAGCCCCUUCAUUCCUGGACCUGAGGUUUUAGAAUUUCAAUCCCUUCCUCCCUCAAGGACUCGGGAAUCUGGGCUCUCAUCUUCAUCCCAGCUCACGUUGAACCUCCUGCGAGGCCAGAACUUCGCUCGGGACAGGGUCCGCAGCAGGUGCCGUCCAUCCACAGAGCCCAGAAGCAGCACAUCUAGCUCGGGGUUGCUGUGCACUGUAUCGGCCUGGGAGUCUGGGUCCACAGGAGGACCUGGCAAGAUGACAGCUGGCUGGGGCACCAUGGUGGUUGGCAGAGCGUCCACCGUAGCAUCCCCUAUAAAAAAUGGACUACAAAUCCCAG
rnacentral:lncRNA from 10 species